UGCUCACUCUUCUUGUGAUGAAGAUGUGUGUCCCUAGGUAGGCCACCAUGUCAGGAGCUGCUUUUAGAGAAUACUGGGGGGCACAGGCAACCCUUUUCAGGGGAACUGAGGCACAGUCAGUGAGGGAGCCAGGAGCCAGGAGCCAGGGCUUCCACGACACAGGAUAGCUCUACCCCUGUAAGGGGAUGGAAUCUGGUUAAGAAAAAGGUUUGAGCUCUUCAUGGAUAUCUGCUUGGCCAGUUCUUGAUUAUAUGAUGCAAUUUUAAUGUAGUACUUUUAACCUCAUUUGAUCAUAAAUGUG
rfam:Tupaia chinensis contig171244, whole genome shotgun sequence.